GAUGAACGCUGGCGGCGUGCCUAAUACAUGCAAGUCGAGCGAACGGACGAGAAGCUUGCUUCUCUGAUGUUAGCGGCGGACGGGUGAGUAACACGUGGAUAACCUACCUAUAAGACUGGGAUAACUUCGGGAAACCGUAGCUAAUACCGGAUAAUAUUUUGAACCGCAUGGUUCAAAAGUGAAAGACGGUCUUGCUGUCACUUAUAUAUGGAUCCGCGCUGCAUUAGCUAGUUGGUAAGGUAACGGCUUACCAAGGCAACGAUGCAUAGCCGACCUGAGAGGGUGAUCGGCCACACUGGAACUGAGACACGGUCCAGACUCCUACGGGAGGCAGCAGUAGGGAAUCUUCCGCAAUGGGCGAAAGCCUGACGGAGCAACGCCGCGUGAGUGAUGAAGGUCUUCGGAUCGUAAAACUCUGUUAUUAGGGAAGAACAUAUGUGUAAGUAACUGUGCACAUCUUGACGGUACCUAAUCAGAAAGCCACGGCUAACUACGUG
rnacentral:rRNA from 1 species